GCUGUGGUGGUGUAGCGGUUAGCACGAUAGGUUGUGGUCCUGUCAGCCCGGGUUCAAGUCCCGGCCACGGCCCCA
rnacentral:tRNA from 4 species